rnacentral:rRNA from 1 species
GCCAUGCUAGUUGUACGAGUUCAGACUCGUAGCAGAUAGCUCAGUAACACGUGGCCAAACUACCCUAUGGAUCCGGACAACCUCGGGAAACUGAGGCUAAUCCGGAAUACGACUCUCAGCCUGGAAAUGGCGAGAGUCAGAAACGCUCCGGCGCCAUAGGAUGUGGCUGCGGCCGAUUAGGUAGACGGUGGGGUAACGGCCCACCGUGCCCAUAAUCGGUACGGGUUGUGAGAGCAAGAGCCCGGAGACGGUAUCUGAGACAAGAUACCGGGCCCUACGGGGCGCAGCAGGCGCGAAACCUUUACACUGCACGAAAGUGCGAUAAGGGGACUCCAAGUGCGAGGGCAUAUAGUCCUCGCUUUUCACUACCGUAAGGAGGUAGUAGAAUAAGUGCUGGGCAAGACCGGUGCCAGCCGCCGCGGUAAUACCGGCAGCACAAGUGAUGACCGCUCUUAUUGGGCCUAAAGCGUCCGUAGCUGGCCACGCAAGUCUAUCGGGAAAUCCGCGCGCUCAACGCGCGGGCGUCCGGUGGAAACUGUGUGGCUUGGGACCGGAAGAUCCAGAGGGUACGUCUGGGGUAGGAGUGAAAUCCCGUAAUCCUGGACGGACCACCGGUGGCGAAAGCGCUCUGGAAAGACGGAUCCGACGGUGAGGGACGAAAGCUCGGGUCACGAACCGGAUUAGAUACCCGGGUAGUCCGAGCUGUAAACGAUGUCUGCUAGGUGUGCCACAGGCUACGAGCCUGUGGUGUGCCGUAGGGAAGCCGUGAGGCAGACCGCCUGGGAAGUACGUCCGCAAGGAUGAAACUUAA